rnacentral:rRNA from 1 species
AUACGGAGGGUGCGAGCGUUAAUCGGAAUUACUGGGCGUAAAGCGUACGUAGGCGGUUAUUUAAGUCAGAUGUGAAAGCCCCGGGCUUAACUUGGGAACUGCAUUUGAAACUGGGUAACUAGAGUUUAGUAGAGGGGAGUGGAAUUUCAGGUGUAGCGGUGAAAUGCGUAGAGAUCUGAAGGAACACCAGUGGCGAAGGCGACUCCCUGGACUAAAACUGACGCUGAGGUACGAAAGCGUGGGUAGCAAACAGGAUUAGAAACCCUAGUAGUCC